rnacentral:rRNA from 1 species
CCUACGGGAGGCAGCAGUCGAGAAUCAUUCACAAUGGGGGAAACCCUGAUGGUGCGACGCCGCGUGGGGGAAUGAAGGUCUUCGGAUUGUAAACCCCUGUCAUGUGGGAGCAAAUUAAAAAGAUAGUACCACAAGAGGAAGAGACGGCUAACUCUGUGCCAGCAACCGCGGUAAUAAAGAGGUCUCAAGCGUUGUUCGGAAGCACUGGGCGUAAAGCGUGCGUAGGCUGUUUCGUAAGUCGGGUGUGAAAGGCGCGGGCUCAACCCGCGGACGGCACAUGAUACUGCGAGACGAGAGGAAUGGAGGGGGAAGCGGAAUUCUCGGUGUAGCAGUGAAAUGCGUAGAUAUCGAGAGGAACACUCGUGGCGAAGGCGGGUUCCUGGACAUUAACUGACGCUGAGGCACGAAGGCCAGGGGAGCGAAAGGGAUUAGAUACCCUAGUAGUC